UGGCGCUGCUCGCUUUGCGACCCCAGGUCAGGCGGGACUACCCGCUGAGUUUAAGCAUAUCAAUAAGCGGAGGAA
rnacentral:rRNA from 1 species